GUAAAAAGUAGCGUGAAAUGAGUCAAGGCAAUCACUUUUCUAGAAGACCCUUUGUUAAUAAUGAAUUUUCAAAGUAAAAAAGCUCACUCUACUAAGAAGUGGAAUUCCAGAACUUAAGAAGCAGAAAAGUAGAAUUCAAAAAAAUACAAUUAUCUUAUCUUCUUUGCCCCGCCUAUAGAUCAUCUAGUUUUUGAAGGCGUGUCCACUUUAAAAUGGCGGCAAACAAAAAAGGCGAAGGCGUGUCUGCUUUCAAAUGGUGGCAACCAUAACUAUAGUACAAGGUAGUCUGGCUAGGCAGGCCAAUGACUGUAGCCUAGGAAAUGGAGUGAUAAUGUUUAACUCGUUAGUAAUAUGGCUUGAUAACCUAUUUCAUUCUUUACAAUACAGGUUAGAUUGGCUUUAUAUAGUGUCAGUGAUGUGUGAAUGAGCCGGUUUCAGUUGGCUCUUGAAGAUUGACAAAUAAUAAUGAUUCUUCGUUUAGAGUGCAGGCAGUAUGGAAUGUUGUAGUGGACACAAUUCCUGAUCAAUGAUAUACGUAUGGAAAGGAUGUGUCAUUAUGUAAUGUUCACCCUGCCUAUCAUAGGCACAUCUACUUUCAAGAGACAAGAUGGCGAUGAAGUUUAUAAGCAAGUUUAGGUGAUAUCACGGCCUCGUGUAAUUCCUUAGAUGUGUUGGUGAUCUGAAAUACUCAUUUUGAGGUUUUUUAUCCAUUACACUGGCACCAACACUGAGACAGACAAA